rnacentral:rRNA from 1 species
AGGGUUUGAUCAUGGCUCAGGAUGAACGCUAGCGGCAGGCCUAAUACAUGCAAGUCGGACGGGAUCCAUCGGAGAGCUUGCUCGAAGAUGGUGAGAGUGGCGCACGGGUGCGUAACGCGUGAGCAACCUACCUCUAUCAGGGGGAUAGCCUCUCGAAAGAGAGAUUAACACCGCAUAAUAUCAACAGUUCGCAUGUUCGGUUGAUUAAAUAUUUAUAGGAUAGAGAUGGGCUCGCGUGACAUUAGCUAGUUGGUAGGGUAACGGCCUACCAAGGCGACGAUGUCUAGGGGCUCUGAGAGGAGAAUCCCCCACACUGGUACUGAGACACGGACCAGACUCCUACGGGAGGCAGCAGUAAGGAAUAUUGGUCAAUGGGCGGAAGCCUGAACCAGCCAUGCCGCGUGCAGGAUGACUGCCCUAUGGGUUGUAAACUGCUUUUGUCCAGGAAUAAACCUAAAUACGUGUAUUUAGCUGAAUGUACUGGAAGAAUAAGGAUCGGCUAACUCCGUGCCAGCCGCCGCGGUAAUUCA